UACAGAAGUGCGGGAAGCUUCCAGAAACCCUGUGGACUUACACAUUGGAAGAAGCUAAUCUUCUCUAAAGACCAGUGAUGUUGCCAUGAGGACUGCUGUCCUGCGAUGUCUCGGUUUUCCUCGGGGGUGAUGAAAGAGACUUCUACAAUGUCUCUUUUGAUUCAGAUGCCGUGGCAGACUUCACCCAGGUUCCUGUGGGAUUAUUGCCUGUUAUUCCUGAAGUCAGUCAGCAACCAGGUCCGAAUGC